GGGGAAUAUUGCACAAUGGGGGAAACCCUGAUGCAGCGACGCCGCGUGAGUGAAGAAGUAUUUCGGUAUGUAAAGCUCUAUCAGCAGGGAAGAAAAUGACGGUACCUGAGUAAGAAGCCCCGGCUAACUACGUGCCAGCAGCCGCGGUAAUACGCAGGGGGCAAGCGUUAUCCGGAUUUACUGGGUGUAAAGGGAGCGCAGGCGGUUUGGCAAGUUGAGAGUGGAAGCAGGGGGCUCAACCCCCUGACUGCUCCCAAAACUGUUAAACUUGAGUAUGGGAGAGGCAGGCGGAAUUCCUAGUGUAGCGGUGAAAUGCUUAGAUAUUAGGAAGAACACCGGUGGCGAAGGCGGCCUGCUGGACCAAAACUGACGCUGAGGCUCGAAAGCGUGGGUAGCAAACAGGAUUAGAUACCCUGGUAGUCCACGCUGUAAACGAUGAAUACUAGGUGCUGGGAGGCAUAAGCCUUUCGGUGCCGUCGCAAACGCAUUAAGUAUUCCACCUGGGGAGUACGUUCGCAAGAAUG
rnacentral:rRNA from 1 species